rnacentral:rRNA from 1 species
UACAACUUUCAACAACGGAUCUCUUGGCUCUCGUAUCGAUGAAGAACGCAGCGAAAUGCGAUAAGUAAUGUGAAUUGCAGAAUUCAGUGAAUCAUCGAAUCUUUGAACGCACCUUGCGCCCCUUGGUAUUCCGAGGGGCAUGCCUGUUUGAGUGU